UACGAACUGUGCGAACGUUAUUCGGAAUCACUGGGCUUACAGGGUGCGUAGGCGGCCGAACAAGUCAGGUGUGAAAGCCCUCGGCUCAACCGAGGAACUGCGCUUGAAACUGUUUGGCCCGAGUCAACUAGAGGUGCACGGAACUUCCAGUGGAGCGGUGAAAUGUGUUGAUAUUGGAAGGAACACCGGAGGCGAAAGCGGUGCACUGGGGUUGGUCUGACGCUGAGGCACGAAAGCCAGGGGAGCGAACGGG
rnacentral:rRNA from 1 species